UAGUUCUUUUGUUGUCCUUGUUGUGUCAAUACUGUCAACGUCGCUGGUCGGCUGGUCGGAGUUCCGCCAUUUUUCCAUUUUCGGCUUGCUUUGCUUGGAAGUGCGUUUCUAGUAAAUUCAAGAUUUAACUUUCUCUUUUCAACAUGCAAGCACGGGGUAGAUCGGAAAACACAACAAAGGUUUUUGUUGGAAGUCUGCCUGCCGGCGUCACCCCCGAUGACCUAAGAAAGCUUUUUGAGCCCUACGGGGCGAUUGCCGAAUGCGACAUUUCUAACAGAUGCGGAUUUUUACAUCUGGAAGACAGAGAUUUGGCAACCAAAGCUAUCGCUGAACUCAAUGGCAGUGAAUUUAUGGGAGGUAGAAUUUCAGUUGAAAAAGGCAGAGUAAAAUCCCGCCGUGGCGGUGGCGGCGGUGGCCCUAUGCGUGGUGGUAGAGACAGGGGUGGCCCUUAUCCUAGAGGAGGCGGAAGAGAUUUUCGUGGCCCACCAAGGGGUGGCGGAUUUGGAGGUGGACGUGGAGGUGGAGAUCGAUUUGGGAGCCGAGGAGGUGGUGGUUUUGGAGGACCUCCUGGACGUAGGGGCCCACCUGGAGGUUUUGAAGAUAGAAGAGGAGGUGCAGGUGGACCUUAUUCAGGAGACAGAGGAUUUGACAGUGGUUACGGUGGUGGUCCAGGAGGAGGAAGAUUUGAUGAGAGAGGAGGUUAUGGAGAUGGACCUAGAGGAAAUUAUGAAGAUCACAGAGCUGCUCCUCCACCUAGAGGUCCACCAUCUGGAGGGCCUGAUAUAUACAGUCGAAGAGAUACUGGUCCUAAACCAAUUGGUGGAGGGUAUGAUGCCUCACGAUAUGGAGGUGGUGGUGCAAAUGGAUAUGGUGCAACUGGAGGAUAUGGCGCAAGCGCUGGUGGAUAUAAUGGUGGUGCUCAAGGAGGAAAUUAUGGAGGUGGUUAUGGCGCCGGCGGUGCUUCUGCAGGAGGUUAUGGAGACAGAAGUGCUUAUGGAGCUGGUGGAGCAGGUGGUAGCUAUGGUGCUGGUGGACCUAACAAUUAUGACAAUGGCGGCAGCUAUGGAGGUGCUCCAGCUGGAGGUAGAGGUGGAUAUGAUGCAGGCUACCCUCCUCUUCCAUCUCAGAGAGGCUUGGCAACUUGAGGAAAUUGAACCAAUGAAACAUUGAAUGGUGUUUGCUCAAACUUUAUUUCCAACCAAUAUUCUGCUUCCACUGUAGACAGGUACUCCUAAAGAGAACUUAAAGAAGAAACGAUUAACAUGGGCCAAAGGAUAAUCGUGACCUGAAUAUCCAAUACUGAUUCUGAGACAUACAUGAACUCAUUAUUUCAUCUUCCUUAUGGUACAUAUUUUUUUAUUACAAAAUUGUUUUAAAGGCUAUUUUAAUAAAUAAUAACAAUUUAAA
rnacentral:misc_RNA from 1 species